AAAGAAAACUAAUAUGAAAAAAAAAAGUAUCAAUUUUAACUCUGUUCUUCGGGGGAACAUCAAUUUCUAACUCUUUUUCUUUCCCUUUUGUUUUGAUAUGUUUGUUUUCCUAAGUACGACCGAUGGGAAAAAUCUAUAAGGGAAACUAACAUGGGAAUACGUCACAUUUGAACUUUCUCUUUUUCCUGAAGUAUUAUGCACAACCUUAUCCUACAGUCCCCUCCCUCUAAGACCUGUCCUAUGUAUAUGCUAAGGAUGGGAGGAAGCGAGCAUUAUCCUAUGAGACACUACCUCCCUCUCAUGACCUAUCCUUCCAACAUAAUGAGGUCAUAGAGGAAGAAGAAUUAUACAAGACAUUAUUUCCCUCCCAAGACUUACCCUUCCUACAUAAUGAGGUGGAAGGGAAGAAGAAUUAUACAAGACAUUAUUUCCCUCCCAAGACUUACCCUUCCUACGUAAUGAGGUCGGAAGGGAAGGAGGGAGAAUUUACCGACCUGACCUGCCCCCUCAAGACCUGUCCUAUGUACUAAUGAAGGUCAAGGGCGAGUGAGCAUUAUCCUACAAGAAAUGACCCCCUCCAUGACCUGUUCUGUGUAUGCUGAGGUCGGGAGGGAGCGAGCGUUUUCCUACAAGCCUGACCUGUUCUAUGUAUGCUAAGGUCAGGAGUAAGCAUAGAUUAUAUUUGUGAGUCUGAAUUUGUAAGUACUGUGAAUGUUUCUUUUAAUAUCUUUUUAAGUGGAGAAAGUGGAAGGAAAAUAGUGAGUUUAUGAGUAGGAAGGGGAUUUAGGAUUUCCUCUUAUAUAAUGGAAAUAGGAAAACAGGACAACUAUACAGCAUUUUUGAUUAGUCUGAGUACUGUGACUUCUUUUAAUAUCUUUUAUAGGCAAAGAAACAGACAGGAAGAAGGAAGAGUUUAUGAGUAGGAAGAUAUAUCAUUUAGGAUCUACUCUUUUGAAUGUGUGGAAAUACCAGAGGAAGGAAAAUCCAUAGAUGCAGAAGCUGUGAAGUAGAGUAGAUACAAGCAAGAGUAAGUACUGUGGGUAAUAUCUUCCAAUAUCCUUUUGUUUAUAAGUCUAUUGCUGGGUCUAUGUUUAUGUGUGUGGAAAAAUAAGAUGAAGAAAAAAUCAAGACACUAAAGGAAUGAAGUAUAUAAGGAAGAGGACAGGUUAUGAGACAAGGAAAAUCUAUGUAUAUGUGUGUAUGAAUGUAUAUGUGUAUGUAUAUAAGUGUAUUAGGACAGGUUAUGAGACAAGGAAAAUCUGUAUGUAUGUAUGUGUGUAUAAGUCCAUUAAACAUAACAGAUAACAGAAAACAGAAGGCUUGGCACAGAUCCAUUUAAUAUUAUGCAUGACUUAGGAAUUACAUGAAAAACUAGUAAUAAUAAUAAUAAUAAUAGUAAUAAUAAUAAUCGGUUCACCAGCUCUACAUAAUCUACACUUUUGAUCCAAUCGUCUACUGGCGUACCUGUAACCUUAUGACCUAGGUAGGCACUGAUACAAGGCCUCAGGUGGGCAGCUUAGUACUCUAGACAAGGGAAUAACAACAGGUGAUAUCUCAGGAGCGAAGAAAGAUCGCUCAGUCAAUGGGGGCAUACGCUGGGGGGUGCGUCGCCUCGCCCACCCCAAAACGCCAAGCCCAGGGGUGAAGCAUACUAAAGAUCAGAGUAUAUACAAAGCUAAAUGGGUAAUAGGCUGUAAAGAGCUCUAGGGUUAGGCAGCGUGUGUGCUUCCUCUAAUACAUAUGUGAGGAGAGAUAUAUCAGAGUAUACAUAAGACUACCUACAUAAUGAGGAGUAUAGGGCCAUAGGGAGGUAGAUAGGGAUAAUUUCUGAGGAUUUUAAGGGCAACUUUUGAGAAUUUUGAAGGUAACUUGAGGAUUUUUUUUUUUUAGGGUAACUCUUGAGGAUUUUGAGGGUAGCUUUUGAGGAUUAUUUUAAGGGUAACUUUUGAAGAAUGCUAAUAAUGUGAGGAUUUUAAGGGUAACUUUUGAGGAUUAUUUUAAGGGUAACUAUUGAAAAAUGCUAAUAAUGUGAUGAUUUUAAGGGUAACUUUUGAGGAUUAUUUUAAGGGUAACUUUUGAAAAAUGCUAAUAAUGUGAUGAUUUUGAGGGUAACUUUUGAGGAUUAUUUUAAGGGUAACUAUUAAAGAAUGCUAAUAAUGCCUUAAAUAAAAAUAGAGGUAUAUAUAAAAUUAGAAAAGGGCAAAGAACACUGACAAUAUAUGGCAAGGUAUCAAAAUUAUUAAAGAGGAGUUAAAUCUAAAUAUAAAAAAGGCAAGUUAUAGCUAGGUAUCAAAAUUAUCAAAGUAGAAAAGUAAAAAUUUGUAAAAAGACAUGAGGCAAUCAAGACUAUAGAUAGGUAAUAUAACACCUAUAAGGAGUUGAAAAAAAAAGAGCAAAAUGAUGUUAGGAAUCACA